GGGGAUUUAGCUCAGUGGUAGAGCACAUGCCUAGCAAGCGCAAGGCCCUGGGUUCGGUCCCCAGCUCCG
rfam:Rattus norvegicus chromosome X, whole genome shotgun sequence.